rnacentral:rRNA from 1 species
UACAUGGGGUGCAACCGUUGCUCGGAAUUAUUGGGCGUAAAGCGCACGUAGGCGGUUUGUUAAGUCGAACGUGAAAUCCCCGGGCUCAACCCGGGAACUGCGUCCGAUACUGGCAGGCUUGAAUCCGGGAGAGGGAUGCGGAAUUCCAGGUGUAGCGGUGAAAUGCGUAGAUAUCUGGAGGAACACCGGUGGCGAAGGCGGCAUCCUGGACCGGCAUUGACGCUGAGGCGCGAAAGCCAGGGGAGCAAACGGG